UGAACGCUAGCGACAGGCCUAACACAUGCAAGUCGAGGGGCAGCACAAGGAGCAAUCUGAGGUGGCGACCGGCGCACGGGUGAGUAACACGUAUGCAACCUGCCUGUAAGCGGGGAAUAACCCGUUGAAAGACGGACUAAUACCGCAUAAUACUAAAUUACUGCAUGGUAAUUUAUUUAAACAUUUAUGGCUUACAGAUGGGCAUGCGCAUGAUUAGCUAGUUGGAGAGGUAACGGCUCCCCAAGGCAACGAUCAUUAGGGGUUCUGAGAGGAAGGUCCCCCACACUGGUACUGAGACACGGACCAGACUCCUACGGGAGGCAGCAGUGAGGAAUAUUGGUCAAUGGACGAGAGUCUGAACCAGCCAAGUCGCGUGCAGGAAGAAUGUCCCUAUGGAUUGUAAACUGCUUUUGCAGGGGAAUAAAGUGCAUCACGUGUGAUGUUUUGUAUGUACUCUGCGAAUAAGGAUCGGCUAACUCCGUGCCAGCCGCCGC
rnacentral:rRNA from 1 species